rnacentral:rRNA from 1 species
UACGAAGAGGGCUAGCGUUGCUCGGAAUUACUGGGCGUAAAGGGCGCGUAGGCGGCACUGUUAGUCAGGCGUGAAAGUCCUGGGCUCAACCUGGGAACUGCGCUUGAUACGGCAGAGCUAGAGGAUGGAAGAGGCUCGCGGAAUUCCCAGUGUAGAGGUGAAAUGCGCAGAUAUCAGGAGGAACACCAAUGGCGAAGGCAGCACUCUGGGACGGUACUGACGCUGAGACGCGAAAGCGUGGGGAGCAAACAGG